rnacentral:lncRNA from 1 species
CCAGUUUGAGCUGAUGCGAGGUUAGAAGAGUUGGGGGGCUUACUUGGAAUUGUUACAAUAUGAGAGGGGGUUAUGAGAGCACUUUCUCUCUCUCUUUCUCUCAUUUCCUCUCACCCCCUCACGUUUCUCUCUCCCUCUCUCUCUCUAAACGAAAAAGAAGAGGAGAAGAAGAAGAGAAAGAAGAAGAAGGAGAAGAGGAAUAAGAAGGAGAAGAAGAUCAAGAGGGAGAUCUU